rnacentral:lncRNA from 1 species
UCGUCACGGCGGGGUCGUGGUGGCGCGUGCGGGUUAGGGUGCGCAGAACGUGGCUCAGUGCUGGCCGAAGAUGUAGAAGAAAGGGACAGUGGCCAUGGUGAAGGGAGAGAAGAUGAAGAAGGGGAGAAAAAAGAAGAACGAAAAUAUGCAGGGGCUUAAUGCAAAAAUGAGAUGCGACCUGACAGCGGGCCCACCUGUAAGAAAU